UACGAAGGGGGCUAGCGUUGCUCGGAAUCACUGGGCGUAAAGGGUGCGUAAGCGGGUCUUUAAGUCAGGGGUGAAAUCCUGGAGCUCAACUCCAGAACUGCCUUUGAUACUGAGGAUCUUGAGUUCGGGAGAGGUGAGUGGAACUGCGAGUGUAGAGGUGAAAUUCGUAGAUAUUCGCAAGAACACCAGUGGCGAAGGCGGCUCACUGGCCCGAUACUGACGCUGAGGCACGAAAGCGUGGGGAGCAAACAGGGA
rnacentral:rRNA from 1 species